CCAUACCGAACAUAGAAGUUAAGCCCAACUACGCCGAUGGUACUCGGAGGGUGACCUCCCGGUAGAGUAGGAAGUUGCUAAAU
rnacentral:rRNA from 1 species